rnacentral:rRNA from 1 species
AUUGAACGCUGGCGGCAGGCCUAACACAUGCAAGUCGAACGGUAACAGGGAUCAGCUUGCUGAUUCGCUGACGAGUGGCGGACGGGUGAGUAAUGUCUGGGAAACUGCCUGAUGGAGGGGGAUAACUACUGGAAACGGUAGCUAAUACCGCAUAACGUCGCAAGACCAAAGAGGGGGACCUUCGGGCCUCUUGCCAUCGGAUGUGCCCAGAUGGGAUUAGCUAGUAGGUGGGGUAACGGCUCACCUAGGCGACGAUCCCUAGCUGGUCUGAGAGGAUGACCGGCCACACGGGAAUGGAGACAGGGCCCAGCCCCCUAGGGGGGGCAGAGGUGGGGAAUUUGCCACAAGGGGGGAAGCCCGAAGGCACCCCGGCGGGGUGUAGGAAGAAGGCCUUGGGGUUUAAAAGUACUUUCGGGGGGGGGAAAGGGGGUAAAGUUAAUCCUUUUCCCCUUUGACGUUCCCCGCAAAAAAAGCACCGGCAAACCCCGG